UGCUCGAGUGGCGAACGGGUGAGUAACACGUGGGUGAUCUGCCCUGCACUUCGGGAUAAGCUUGGGAAACUGGGUCUAAUACCGGAUAGGACCAUCGUUUAGUGUCGGUGGUGGAAAGUUUUUUCGGUGUGGGAUGAGCUCGCGGCCUAUCAGCUUGUUGGUGGGGUAAUGGCCUACCAAGGCGUCGACGGGUAGCCGGCCUGAGAGGGUGUACGACCACAUUGGGACUGAGAUACGGCCCAG
rnacentral:rRNA from 1 species